rnacentral:rRNA from 1 species
ACUCAAAGGAAUUGACGGGGGCCCGCACAAGCGGUGGAUUAUGUGGUUUAAUUCGAUGAUACGCGAGGAACCUUACCAAGACUUAAAUGGGAAUUGACAGCUUUAGAAAUAGAGCUUUCUUCGGACAAUUUUCAAGGUGCUGCAUGGUUGUCGUCAGCUCGUGCCGUGAGGUGUUAGGUUAAGUCCUGCAACGAGCGCAACCCCUGUCACUAGUUGCCAUCAUUCAGUUGGGGACUCUAGUGAGACUGCCUACGCAAGUAGAGAGGAAGGUGGGGAUGACGUCAAAUCAUCACGGCCCUUACGUCUUGGGCCACACACGUAAUACAAUGGCCGGUACAGAGGGCAGCUACACAGCGAUGUGAUGCAAAUCUCGAAAGCCGGUCUCAGUUCGGAUUGGAGUCUGCAACUCGACUCUAUGAAGCUGGAAUCGCUAGUAAUCGCGCAUCAGCCAUGGCGCGGUGAAUACGUUCCCGGGCCUUGUACACACCGCCCGU